GAACGCUAGUUACUUCCGGCGUUUAGACAGGGAACAGAGCUCUAAACUUAUUUACACUGCCAAAUAAACUUUUAUAGCGCAUUGUGCCUCCUUUUUAAAGGUUCUCGCUUGUAUGUUUUGUUUUAUGCGGCUGUAGGUUAUCUCUUGGACAUGCCUGUGCUCUCAGAGAGCUAAAGCUGUGUAAAUAUUAUCAUGAGAAGUAUUUAAAUGGACGUACAGUGUUAAAGCUGUUAUUAUGGCUUCUCAUCACAACACUACAUCAGAGGACGAUUUCCCUACUUUGAAGCCGAGACGCAUCCAAAACCAGAACGUUGUCCACCGGUUAGAAAGACGCCGGAUCUGCUCCGGUCCAGUCGGGGCACAUUGGUACCGUGUCCGCUGCUUCCACCAGAACCUGUUCCCCAACUUCACAGUGGUGAAUGUAGAGAAGCCACCCUGCUUCCUGCGUAAGUUCUCCCCUGAUGGGCGAUGCUUUAUUGCGUUUUCUUCUGAUCAGACUUCUUUGGAAAUCUAUGAGUACCAAGGAUGCCAAGCUGCUGAAGAUCUUCUUCAGGGUCAGGAGGGAGAAACGCUGGCCAAUGGGAACGACCAGCGCUCCCUCAACAUCAGAGGCAGACUCUUUGAACGCUUCUUUUCCCUUCUCCACGUCACCAACGUGGCCUCCAACGGUGAGCACUUGAAUAGAGAGUGCAGUCUUUUCACUGACGACUGCCGUUAUGUGAUUGUCGGCUCAGCUGCUUACUUGCCUGAAGAACCUCAUCCACACUUUUUUGAGGUGUACAGAAACAAUGAAUCUGUGACACCGAAUCCACGCUCUCCUCUUGAGGACUACUCACUGCACAUCAUAGACCUGCACACGGGCCGGCUGUGUGAUACACGCACCUUUAAGUGUGACAAAAUCAUUCUGUCACACAAUCAGGGGCUGUACCUGUACAGAAAUAUACUGGCAGUGCUUUCUGUGCAGCAACAGACCAUACAUGUCUUUCAGGUGACAUCGGAAGGAACCUUCCUUGACGUGCGCACCAUUGGUCGUUUUUGUUACGAGGAUGACCUGCUGACACUGUCUGCUGUUUACUCCGAGGCCCAGGCUGAAGGCCAGCCUGGUUUCUCCCGCCUGUAUAAGGAGAAAACCAUCAACUCCUUAAAACACCGUCUGCUGGUGUACCUGUGGAGGAGGGCAGAGCAGGACGGCAGCGCCACGGCCAAACGCCGGUUCUUUCAGUUCUUCGAUCAGCUCAGACAGCUGCGCAUGUGGAAGAUGCAGCUCCUGGAUGAACAUCACCUGUUCAUAAAAUACACCAGUGAAGAUGUGGUCACGCUGAGGGUCACCGACCCCUCACAGCCCUCUUUCUUCGUGGUUUACAAUAUGCUAACCACUGCAGUUAUUGCGGUUUUUGAGAAUACUUCAGACAAACUUCUGGAGCUUUUUGAAAACUUCUGCGACCUCUUCCGGAACGCCACGCUCCACAGCGAGGCUGUGCAGUUCCCCUGCUCUGCUUCCAGCAACAACUUUGCCCGUCAGGUGCAGCGCAGAUUUAAAGACACCAUUGUGAAUGCCAAAUACGGAGGGCACACAGAGGCAGUCAGGAGGCUUCUCGGGCAGCUGCCCAUCAGUGCUCAGUCCUACAGCAGCAGCCCUUAUCUGGAUCUCUCCCUCUUUAGCUAUGACGACAAGUGGGUGUCAGUCAUGGAACGGCCAAAGACCUGUGGCGAUCAUCCCAUACGGUUUUACGCGAGGGACUCGGGGUUGCUGAAAUUUAAGAUCCAGGCAGGCCUGCUGGGCAGACCUAUUAACCAUGCGGUCAGGAGACUGGUCGCGUUCACCUUCCAUCCCUUCGAGCCGUUUGCCAUCUCUGUGCAGCGCACCAACGCCGAAUACGUCGUCAACUUUCACAUGCGCCAUGGAUGCGUAUGAUAACGCAUGUGGAAGCCUUCUCUGGAGGAUGAGAUCUGGGAGUUUAUCCUCAAACACAGAAUAACAGCAUGCUGUGUCAGCAGUCUGGUCUGAAACAUCAUGAAUCCGAGUGGACGGAGAUGUUGUCCAACCUAUGGAAGGAAAACAGAGAGGGAGAAAAUGAAAGAGAAAGAGAGGGCAUCGUGCUGCUCGCAAACUGACAAUUCCAGCGACUCUGUCAGACAGCAGUUGACUGCUACUCUGCUAUUCCUGUUAGAGGGCUGAACCCACUCUGCCUUGUUGGCACAGAUAUUUUUAGCCCUGGCUUUUGGCAGAGAGACCAGCACUAAGAGUGAUGGGGCCACACAGGCCUCCAACUACAAAAGGGCAGUGGUGGGAUGAAGAGGGCGGAGGCAGGCAAGGUCACAUGAGGCCACUGGAGACGAGAGACUGGAAGAUGAGGUCCAAAUUUUUUGAGCAAAAAUCACCCCCAAUAAUAUGGACUACAAUGAACUUGAUGUGAACAAGACCUGAUGUGAACAAGCCAUAUGUCUGGAUAAUUUGCAUACAAUGUUCAGCUGUUUGAAGACAUUUUGUGUCCAGCUUGAUUCCAAUUUAACUGAAUUGUUUAAGGCUUUAGGAGUUGGCUUUGUCUAAAAUGAGAUCUUCAAUCCUCCCAGGAUCCUUUUAACUGCUGGAUUAAUGUGUGGUAUUAAUAUCAUGAUCGAAGAGGGAUGCAUGUUGAUAGUUUCAGCAGUAAAAUCAGCACAAAUACAGAUGAUUGAAGGCUGUGGAAAGACUGUGUGUGUGAGAGCCUCUGUGUGCAUGUGUUUUAGGCAAGAAAGAAAACCGCAAUUACAUUACAUUUGUUUAUCCGCCAAAAUUAUGGAAAACAAAGCUCUGGAUAACUUCCCAAUUUCAUUCAGAACCCCUGCGAGGAACCCCCUGCCAUGCAGCCAAAACACGCUCUCCACCGACAACCAAAUUAGCUCCAAGGGCAGAGGCAGUGCAACUGUUUAUGGAGAAACCCACGGCUCCACUAAAACAAGCUUACUGGCCACGCAUGCUGAAAGAAAGCACCAGUAAAGAUAUCUGCUCUGCAGUGAGAUGAAGGGCCGCCCGCUGUGCUGAAGAUACGGCCAUGAGGGGCAGCGCUCUGUGCUGACGGAACAACAUUUUCACUGGAGAAAGCAAUAUUAUGGAUUGUGGACUCUGAAAGCAACAGCUUGAAGUUAAAAACACCUUGAUGUUGAAUUUUUUUCUUACAAACACAUCUUUUUGCUGCACAAGAUGUUAAGUGAUGGACUGGACUGAUGCUUUUAUCAGCUGUUUGGACUCUCAUUCUGACGGCACCCAUUCACUGCAGAUGAUCUAUUGCUGAGCAAGUGAUGUAAUGCUAAAUUUCUCAAAAUCUGUACAGAUGAAGAAACAAUCAUAUCUACAUCUUGGAUGGCUUUAGGGUGACUAGCAAAUUUUCAUUUUUGGGUGAUUCACAGGAUUUUAGUCACAUGGACUGCUUUUAUGCUACAUUUUAUUGAAUUUUUGUCCUUUUUGGAGCUUGGCAGCCAACAGAUAUGUAGUGUAUGGCUGUUUUAAGUGAAUACUCUCAUUCUUGAGAGAGUUUGAGAGAGCAACAGGAAAGCUGGAGAAUGAUAAAGAAAGCCAAAUUCCCUCUAUUAGAAGACAAUGCUCAGAGCAUGUGCUUCAGGGUGGAGGGGUAGAUGAGAGAGGAAGAAAAAAGCGCCGGUAACGACAGAUAAAGACGCCAUCACAGAGUGAUGUGAGUCUUAGGGCAAUGAAGACCAGAUAAAAAGAACAACAGAAUUAGAGCCCCCCCCCUCCCCAUUUGUCAGAAUCGGCAGUGCUGCCUUGCUUUGAAAACACACACAUUAUGAGGCAUCACACAUGAUUAGCAAGCUCUUCCUUUGACUUUGACAACUGAAUGCUUGACUGCUUGUCAGGACGGGGAAUUCUGAGGAGAUUCUUCCUGUCUUUUCUCUCCCUUUCUUUCCUUUCCGUCUCAGACUUUGAUGAGUUAUCACACGUGUCAGAGACGGCACUCGGUGGAUUGCCGUGUUUGUCUUUGACUCAUUGCUUGAAUAAAUAAACACUUGAGCUGUAGCGUGUGACUGUUUUGGAGUUACACAAACUUGAGGAUAUUGACAAGUCAUCUUUCUUGAACUCAGAUGACUGCGUGCCGACUGGUGUUUGAGCACCAGGCACUUGUUGGGAGAUAAAUUGU